AUCCGGGUUGCGGACAGUGUCUGGUGGGUAGUUUGACUGGGGCGGUCUCCUCCUAAAGAGUAACGGAGGAGCACGAAGGUUGGCUAAUCCUGGUCGGACAUCAGGAGGUUAGUGCAAUGGCAUAAGCCAGCUUGACUGCGAGCGUGACGGCGCGAGCAGGUGCGAAAGCAGGUCAUAGUGAUCCGGUGGUUCUGAAUGGAAGGGCCAUCGCUCAACGGAUAAAAGGUACUCCGGGGAUAACAGGCUGAUACCGCCCAAGAGUUCAUAUCGACGGCGGUGUUUGGCACCUCGAUGUCGGCUCAUCACAUCCUGGGGCUGAAGUAGGUCCCAAGGGUAUGGCUGUUCGCCAUUUAAAGUGGUACGCGAGCUGGGUUUAGAACGUCGUGAGACAGUUCGGUCCCUAUCUGCCGUGGGCGCUGGAGAACUGAGGGGGGCUGCUCCUAGUACGAGAGGACCGGAGUGGACGCAUCACUGGUGUUCGGGUUGUCAUGCCAAUGGCACUGCCCGGUAGCUAAAUGCGGAAGAGAUAAGUGCUGAAAGCAUCUAAGCACGAAACUUGCCCCGAGAUGAGUUCUCCCUGACCCUUUAAGGGUCCUGAAG
rnacentral:rRNA from 1 species